UACGGAGGGGGCUAGCGUUGUUCGGAAUUACUGGGCGUAAAGCGCACGUAGGCGGCUUUGCAAGUUAGAGGUGAAAGCCCGGGGCUCAACUCCGGAAUUGCCUUUAAAACUGCAUCGCUAGAAUUGUGGAGAGGUAAGUGGAAUUCCGAGUGUAGAGGUGAAAUUCGUAGGUAUUCGGAAGAACACCAGUGGCGAAGGCGACUUACUGGACACGUAUUGACGCUGAGGUGCGAAAGCGUGGGGAGCAAACAGG
rnacentral:rRNA from 1 species